UGGGGAAUAUUGCACAAUGGGCGCAAGCCUGAUGCAGCGACGCCGCGUGGGGGAUGACGGCCUUCGGGUUGUAAACUCCUUUCGCUAGGGACGAAGCUUUUUGUGACGGUACCUAGAUAAGAAGCACCGGCUAACUACGUGCCAGCAGCCGCGGUAAUACGUAGGGUGCGAGCGUUGUCCGGAAUUACUGGGCGUAAAGGGCUCGUAGGUGGUUUGUCGCGUCGUCUGUGAAAUUCCGGGGCUUAACUCCGGGCGUGCAGGCGAUACGGGCAUAACUUGAGUACUGUAGGGGUAACUGGAAUUCCUGGUGUAGCAGUGAAAUGCGCAGAUAUCAGGAGGAACACCGAUGGCGAAGGCAGGUUACUGGGCAGUUACUGACGCUGAGGAGCGAAAGCAUGGGUAGCGAACAGG
rnacentral:rRNA from 1 species